GGGUUUUUGAAAUUUUUUCUGCCGACAGGCGGCGCUUCGUAUGCGUCAGGUCCAAACAGCUGUCAAAUAGUAUGGAAUUGUAGGUGCCGAACUUAUUGUUUAUUGAAAUUCUGUUAUAUUGGAAGUGUUAUUGAUUUUAUUAUGGACUACGGUCAGAAUAAGGUUUCCGAACUAAAAAUUGAGCUAAGAGAGAGGGUGCAAAAGUCACUGGUACUAAGGAAAAGCUUGUUGAAAAAUUUGUUAACACAA